AACGAACGCUGGCGGCAGGCUUAACACAUGCAAGUCGAACGCACCGCAAGGUGAGUGGCAGACGGGUGAGUAACACGUGGGGAUCUGCCCAAUGGUACGGAAUAGCUCCGGGAAACUGGAAUUAAUACCGUAUGUGCCCUUCGGGGGAAAGAUUUAUCGCCAUUGGAUGAACCCGCGUCGGAUUAGCUAGUUGGUGUGGUAAAGGCGCACCAAGGCGACGAUCCGUAGCUGGUCUGAGAGGAUGAUCAGCCACACUGGGACUGAGACACGGCCCAGACUCCUACGGGAGGCAGCAGUGGGGAAUAUUGGACAAUGGGCGCAAGCCUGAUCCAGCCAUGCCGCGUGAGUGAUGAAGGCCCUAGGGUUGUAAAGCUCUUUCGCCGACGAAGAUAAUGACGGUAGUCGGAGAAGAAGCCCCGGCUAACUUCGUGCCAGCAGCCGCGGUAAAAC
rnacentral:rRNA from 1 species